rnacentral:sRNA from 1 species
UUCUUUCCCCUGCAUGGUAUGCGUCAUC